rnacentral:SRP_RNA from 1 species
AUAUCACUGCGAUCCUCGUCUUCCCAUCCCUGGAUCCGGAGCCGACAGGGGCCGCCGCCGCGUGAUGUGA